CCUACGGGAGGCAGCAGUGGGGAAUUUUGGACAAUGGGCGCAAGCCCGAUCCAGCAACGCCGCGUGCGGGAAGAAGGCCUUCGGGUUGUAAACCGCUUUUGGCAGGAACGAAACGGUGUCCGCUAAUACCGGGCGCUAAUGACGGUACCUGCAGAAUAAGCACCGGCUAACUACGUGCCAGCAGCCGCGGUAAU
rnacentral:rRNA from 1 species